rnacentral:rRNA from 1 species
GAUGAACGCUGGCGGCGUGCCUAAUACAUGCAAGUCGAGCGAACAGACGAGUACUUUGCUCUUCUGACGUUAGCCGCGGACGGGUGAGUAACAUGUGGACAACUUCUCUAUAAGACUGGGAUACCUUCGGGACACCGGUACUAAUACCUGCUAACAUCUUGAACCGCCUGGUGCACUAGUGACCGCCGGCUUUGCUGUUACCUAUAGAUGGAUCGGCGCCGGAUUAGCUAGUUGGUGUGGUAACGGCUUACCAAGGCAACGAUGCGUAGCCGACCUGAGAGGAUGACCAGCCACACUGGAACUGAGACACGGUCCAGACUCCUACGGGAGGCAGCAGUAGGGAAUCUUCGACAAUGGGCGAAAGCCUGACGGAGCAAUGCCGCGUGAGUGAAGAAGGUCUUCGGGUCGUAAAGCUCUUUUGUUAGGAAAGAACAAAUGGGUAAUUAACUAGGCGCGGCUUGACGGUACCGGAACAAAAAGCCACGGCUAACUACGUG